rnacentral:rRNA from 1 species
AACGAACGCUGGCGGCAUGCCUAACACAUGCAAGUCGAACGAGACCUUCGGGUCUAGUGGCGCACGGGUGCGUAACGCGUGGGAACCUGCCCUUAGGUUCGGAAUAACUCCCCGAAAGGGGUGCUAAUACCGGAUAAUGUCUUCGGACCAAAGAUUUAUCGCCUUUGGAUGGGCCCGCGUUGGAUUAGCUAGUUGGUAGGGUAAAAGCCUACCAAGGCGACGAUCCAUAGCUGGUCUGAGAGGAUGAUCAGCCACACUGGGACUGAGACACGGCCCAGACUCCUACGGGAGGAGGCAGUGGGGAAUAUUGGAAAAGGGGCGAAGGCCUGACCGAGCAAGGCCGCGUGAGUAAUGAAGGCCUUGGGGUUGAAAAGCUCUUUUACCCGGGAUGAUAAGGACGGUCCCGGGAAAAUAAGCCCCGGCUAACUCCGUG